rnacentral:rRNA from 1 species
GGGUAGCCUGACCGCAAGGAGGGCGCCUACCACGGUGUGGUCAAUGACUGGGGUG